ACGAACGCUGGCGGCAUGCCUAACACAUGCAAGUCGAACGAGACCUUCGGGUCUAGUGGCGCACGGGUGCGUAACGCGUGGGAACCUGCCCUUAGGUUCGGAAUAACUCCCCGAAAGGGGUGCUAAUACCGGAUAAUGUCUUCGGACCAAAGAUUUAUCGCCUUUGGAUGGGCCCGCGUUGGAUUAGCUAGUUGGUAGGGUAAAAGCCUACCAAGGCGACGAUCCAUAGCUGGUCUGAGAGGAUGAUCAGCCACACUGGGACUGAGACACGGCCCAGACUCCUACGGGAGGCAGCAGUGGGGAAUAUUGGACAAUGGGCGAAAGCCUGAUCCAGCAAUGCCGCGUGAGUGAUGAAGGCCUUAGGGUUGUGAAGCUCUUUUACCCGGGAUGAUAAUGACAGUACCGGGAGAAUAAGCUCCGGCUAACUCCGUG
rnacentral:rRNA from 1 species